rnacentral:snRNA from 1 species
UUACAUACCUGGACGGGGUCGACGGCCGAUCAUGAAGGGUCGUGGCCACAUCAAUGGCUCACAUUGCACUUGCUGAGUGCGUUGGUCUACCAUCUCCCCAAGUGGACGAGGGGGUACGCGUUCGCGAGGCCCCUGC